rnacentral:rRNA from 1 species
GAUCAUGGCUCAGGAUGAACGCUAGCUACAGGCUUAACACAUGCAAGUCUAGGGGCAGCAUGGUUCUUAGCUUGCUAAGGCCGAUGGCGACCGGCGCACGGGUGAGUAACACGUAUCCAACCUGCCGUCGUACUCUUGGACAGCCUUCUGAAAGGAAGAUUAAUACAAGAUGGCAUCAUGAGUUCACAUGUUCACAUGAUUAAAGGUAUUCCGGUAGACGAUGGGG